rnacentral:lncRNA from 1 species
GGGUCUUGGUAUUUGUAUUCACUGCCCUUUACCCUAGUCUCUCAUGGGUUUUACAUAUAGGUUGGUGUGUACAGUGGGAUACAGGAAAAUAUCAGACAGUAUAACAGAAUCACUCUCUCUCACUCUGCCCCCAAGCCCAGGCCUGCCCUGUCACUUCAGGAUGUACAAUUCAGUUAAUUCUUCUGGAGCCAUAUUCAAGCAUCAAGACUCCUGCAGAGGGACAUUCUGCCGGGGGCUCACACGAAUCACUGCAGCACGGUUGGAUUUGGUUUUAGUGCUCACUGAGGUGGCUGCAGCUUGGCGAAACCCUGACAUUAGCCAUAGCAGCUACCUGCUCACCAUUCAGAAGCCAAACACAGUGAGGUCUUGUCCCAAAUAGGAAUUGUGUUUCUGAUGUCAAAAUCUGCAAAUGGAUUCAAUUUGCACAGCAGCUGUCCUCAAAGUUGGCAAUUCGACGUCCUCUCAGACAAUUCAUUUUAAGACAAUGUGCAGUGUUUUAGUCCCAAACCUACAAAAGUCCAUAUGCAUCCCAUUUUCUCCCAAAUCCUGUGGCCUGUGGAUAUUUUCCUUCUAACUUGAAACUGACUGCUGUGGAGGCAGAAGAAAGGCAGAUCCAUGAGGCCCAUGAAUCAUUAUCCUAACUGCUCAUUACCCAGGGGCUGUGUGGGGAGCUGCCUCAGACCUUUGGGCUGCUCUAGCCCUGGGGAAGCCAGGAAGGCAUGUAUUGUUAACAACUGCUCUCCUCCAGCCCACGACCCUCUCUCAGAAACCCCCAGCUCACUGCUGCUGCCCUUUCUGCCACGAGAUGUGCCGCGUCUUCCCUUCAUCACCUGAUGCUCCUACAAAAGUGCUCAUUCACAGCGUCCCCAGGCCCCUGGACUCCAGGCCACCCCACAGCCAAACAUUAUCUUCAGAUCUAAUAACAUGCCGUGCCUUCCAAGUAGCACAGAAACCAUAUAAUGAUAAAUCAUAACCAAUAUAUAUUUUCUAUAUGACAUUAUAUAAAAUAUAAUAUCAAUCUUCAAAACUUGCCUAGAACAUAGGUAAAGGUGGUUAGUAAUUCCAUCUAUGCAUAUCCAAAUGUAUUCCCAUCUGUUUGCAAAUGUAUACUUUUCCCACUAGGAAAUCACUCCUGGCUGCCCAAACGGAGGCCCGGUGCCUCUGGUCAUGUCCACAUCUCGUCCAGCGCUUCUGCUGCCUCACCAAGUCUGGAAAGAGCUGCUCUUAUCUCAGGCUACCCACUUCCACUCCGCGCCCCUGCCUGUCCCAUCUCUUGGAAUGAGCGCCAGCUUCCUGGGAGUGGAGUGUACCUCUUUCCCAAACAGGCCCUCUGUCUGGAACGCGCCUCUUCUCACUCCCUGAGUCAUCAAUAAAUCUGUCUCACUUUGUCCUGACUCAAGCUUUGCAGUCAUAGAGUUGGGUCUGCGGAGUUGCCAUUUUCACAGGAUGAGGGAUCCAAGACACUGUGCAAUAUUCUCACAGGAUGAGGGAUCCAAGACACUGUGCAAUAUUCUCACAGUAUUUCUUAAAGGUCAUUUCACUUUUCGGGCUUAUUUUUAAAAAGGUUUUAUUGGAACUAGCUAGUAGGUUCAAAAUGUCAACGUUGACCAAAUAAAACAAAAUGCCAGACGACUUAGUGUUAUGUCAGAAAUGGCCAAGUCCCAAAGUCCCUCAGCCCUGGAAGAGGAUGAUC